GCGCCCAUAGCUCAACUGGAUAGAGCGUCUGGCUACGGACCAGAAGGUUGGGGGUUCGAAUCCUCCUGGGCGUA
rnacentral:tRNA from 2 species